rnacentral:rRNA from 1 species
UACGUAGGGUGCAAGCGUUGUCCGGAAUUAUUGGGCGUAAAGAGCUCGUAGGCGGUCUGUCGCGUCGGAUGUGAAAACCCAGGGCUCAACCCUGGGCCUGCAUUCGAUACGGGCAGACUAGAGUUCGGUAGGGGAGACUGGAAUUCCUGGUGUAGCGGUGAAAUGCGCAGAUAUCAGGAGGAACACCGGUGGCGAAGGCGGGUCUCUGGGCCGAGACUGACGCUGAGGCGCGAAAGCGUGGGGAGCAAACAGG